UUUAUUUUACAAAUCACUUGAAUAAUAUACACCUGGGUGGCGCCAUCUAGCGGUUUCAAUUGGCGUAACGGAAUGUAUCGAUUUUUUCCAAAAUGUACGUAUUGAUAUCGAUUGAUAAUCGUUUCCACAAGCGAAAUGGUGGAAACUAUUGGUGGAAAGAUUCAUGCCUUCAUUGAAAGUGUCAAGUAUGGCUGUGUCGUGUUAUCGUGUAUGUUCGUGAAUCGUGAUAACGGUAUAACUAACUGAUAACUAAAUUUACAUGAGUUAACAUAGUUAUGCUUUCCAACUGAAGCACUUGACUUGAUCAAGCAGUUAACUGUCGAGUUUGCCUUGGAGGAUGUGACGUCUUUUGCUUCUGCCAGUCAUAUUACUUCUAAUCAUUUCAAGCAACAUGUUAUACCCAUCAUACCUCUGCGUCAUGAGGUGAUGGCAAUAACUCAAACAGAUGAAAAUUGAAAUAAAACAUUAAGUUUCGUAAAUA